rnacentral:rRNA from 1 species
CCUACGGGCGGCUGCAGUGGGAAUAUUGGACAAUGGGCGAAAGCCUGAUCCAGCCAUGCCGCGUGUGUGAAGAAGGCCUUCGGGUUGUAAAGCACUUUCAGUGGGGAAGAAAGCCUUGGGGCUAAUACCCUCGAGGAAGGACAUCACCCACAGAAGAAGCACCGGCUAACUCCGUGCCAGCAGCCGCGGUAAUACGGAGGGUGCGAGCGUUAAUCGGAAUUACUGGGCGUAAAGCGCGCGUAGGCGGUCUGAUAAGCCGGUUGUGAAAGCCCCGGGCUCAACCUGGGAACGGCAUCCGGAACUGUCAGGCUAGAGUGCAGGAGAGGAAGGUAGAAUUCCCGGUGUAGCGGUGAAAUGCGUAGAGAUCGGGAGGAAUACCAGUGGCGAAGGCGGCCUUCUGGACUGACACUGACGCUGAGGUGCGAAAGCGUGGGUAGCAAACAGGAUUAGAUACCCGUGUAGUC